GUACACUUUUUAACAGACUAUUAAUUUUUUUUAUUAUUCUUGUCUAUUAAUGCAAUCAUUUUUAUGUAGAGAGUUGUAACAUCAAUAUUGUUCCUUCGGUUUCAUCUGCUGCUGAUAGAAGUACAGAAGAACCAAUUGAACUGAACAAUUUAGACAUAUGUGAUACACAGUCUCUUUCUUCAUUGAAUUUUGCACCUGUUAAGUGGACAAAUUCUAAUGCUGUGAGAACACUUAUUUCCAAAUGGAAAAACCACGAAAGUGAUUUUAAAAAUACUCAAAUUAGAAAUAAUAAGGUAUGGCAAAUAAUUGCAGAAGAGUUAAAGAAAGUAAAUCCUUCGUGGAACUUUAAUAGUAUUCAAUGCGAAAACAAAUUUAAAAAUGUUAGAAAAUCGUAUACUAAAGUAAAAAAUCAUAAUAACCAGAGUGGAGCAGAACUGAAAACAUAUAAAUUUUAUGAAGAGAUGGAGGCUGUUUUGGGUGACAAACCAAUUAUAAAACCUAUUUCAAUAGCAUCAACUUUAAUGAAGAGGACAUGUCCGAAAGAGCGGUAUCACCAUAUCUGACAGUGAGGAGAAAGAAAAUUCAUCACAAUCAAAGCAGAAAAAAAGUAAAAUAGCAAAAGAAUUUGACAAAUGGAGUGUACAACAUAAAAUGGAAGCAAAAGAACGAGAGGAAGCGAGAAUGCAGUGGCAUAAAGAAAAAAUGGAAAAACAAGAUAAAGCUAUAGCAGUUUAGAGCAAAUGGAAAAAUUAUUGGAAAAGCUCUAACAAGUUAAAACAGUCUAUUUCUCUUUUUGUUUUGUUAAAAGGAUUCGUUUAUAAUGUAAAAGUUUUUCUUACAAGUA